UACGAAGGGGGCUAGCGUUGCUCGGAAUCACUGGGCGUAAAGCGCACGUAGGCGGAUUGCUAAGUCAGGGGUGAAAUCCUGGAGCUCAACUCCAGAACUGCCCUUGAUACUGGCGGUCUCGAGUCCGGGAGAGGUGAGUGGAACUGCGAGUGUAGAGGUGAAAUUCGUAGAUAUUCGCAAGAACACCAGUGGCGAAGGCGGCUCUCUGGGACGGUACUGACGCUGAGACGCGAAAGCGUGGGGAGCAAACAGG
rnacentral:rRNA from 1 species